rnacentral:lncRNA from 1 species
CUACUGCGCAUGUGCGUUUCUCUGAGGCGGCCGUUUAACCGUGGUGGCUGCGUGUGCGCAUGCGCACUAGCAUGCGCGGAAGGACGAAUGGUAGCGCUGGAGUGGGCAUUGCGAUGCAACCACUGUCUUCCGCCCCGGUUACCAUGGUACCGGUGGGCAAGUGGAUGUUGGUGUCUAUGGGAACGGGUCAGAGCAGCUGAAGAGAGGACAGCCUCGGGAGGAAGAACUGUUACACAUUUUAAAGUCAAAACCCAGGUGAGUUUCCUUGCUGUUCAUUAAAUGACUGUGUUUAUAUGACUUAAAACUACUCACUUUCCUUGGCCCAAAUUAUC